GAUGAACGCUGGCGGCGUGCCUAAUACAUGCAAGUCGAGCGAACAGACGAGGAGCCUGCUCCUCUGACGUUAGCGGCGGACGGGUGAGUAACACGUGGAUAACCUACCUAUAAGACUGGGAUAACUUCGGGAAACCGGAGCUAAUACCGGAUAAUAUAUUGAACCGCAUGGUUCAAUAGUGAAAGACGGUUUUGCUGUCACUUAUAGAUGGAUCCGCGCCGCAUUAGCUAGUUGGUAAGGUAACGGCUUACCAAGGCAACGAUGCGUAGCCGACCUGAGAGGGUGAUCGGCCACACUGGAACUGAGACACGGUCCAGACUCCUACGGGAGGCAGCAGUAGGGAAUCUUCCGCAAUGGGCGAAAGCCUGACGGGGCAACGCCGCGUGAGUGAUGAAGGUCUUCGGAUCGUAAAACUCUGUUAUUAGGGAAGAACAAAUGUGUAAGUAACUAUGCACGUCUUGACGGUACCUAAUCAGAAAGCCACGGCUAACUACGU
rnacentral:rRNA from 1 species